GGGCGGUUAGCUCAGCGGGAGAGCACUCGGUUUACACCCGAGGGGUCGGCGGUUCGAAACCGUCACCGCCCA
rnacentral:tRNA from 1 species